GACAGAGGGGGCAAGCGUUGCUCGGAAUUACUGGGCGUAAAGGGCGCGUAGGCGGGUUGCAAAGUCUAGGGUGAAAUACUUCAGCUCAACUGGAGAACUGCCUUAGAUACUUGCGACCUCGAGGGGGGUAGGGGCGUGCGGAACUGUAGGUGGAGCGGUGAAAUGCGUUGAUAUCUACAGGAACUCCGGUGGCGAAAGCGGCGCGCUGGACCUCUUCUGACGCUGAGGCGCGAAAGCCAGGGGAGCAAACGGG
rnacentral:rRNA from 1 species